AGCGAACGCUGGCGGCAGGCUUAACACAUGCAAGUCGAACGCUCCGCAAGGGGAGUGGCAGACGGGUGAGUAACGCGUGGGAACGUGCCUUUUGGUUCGGAACAACCCAGGGACACUUGGGCUAAUACCGGAUAAGCCCUUACGGGGAAAGAUUUAUCGCCAAAAGAUCGGCCCGCGUCUGAUUAGGUAGUUGGUGGGGUAAAGGCUCACCAAGCCGUCGAUCUGUAGCUGGUCUGAGAGGACGACCAGCCACACUGGGACUGAGACACGGCCCAGACUCCUACGGGAGGCAGCAGUGGGGAAUAUUGGACAAUGGGGAACCCUGAUCCAGCAAUGCCGCGUGAAUGAAGAAGGCCUUAGGGUUGUAAAUUCUUUUGUUCGUGAAGAUAAUGACGGUAGCGGACGAAUAAGCCCUGGCUAACUCUGUGCCAGCA
rnacentral:rRNA from 1 species